UACGAAGGGGGCUAGCGUUGCUCGGAAUUACUGGGCGUAAAGGGUUCGUAGGCGGUGCGGCAAGUCGGGAGUGAAAUCUCUGGGCUUAACUCAGGGGCUGCUUCCGAAACUGCCGUGCUUGAGUGCGGGAGAGGCGAGUGGAAUUGCAGGUGUAGCGGUGAAAUGCGUAGAUAUCUGCAGGAACACCCGUGGCGAAGGCGGCUCGCUGGACCGCAACUGACGCUGAGGAACGAAAGCUAGGGGAGCAAACAGG
rnacentral:rRNA from 1 species